rnacentral:rRNA from 1 species
CGAGAGCCUGAUCCAGCCAUGCCGCGUGCAGGAAGACUGCCCUAUGGGUUGUAAACUGCUUUUAUACAGGAAGAAAAAGGUGUACGUGUACACUGUUGACGGUACUGUACGAAUAAGGAUCGGCUAACUCCGUGCCAGCAGCCGCGGUAAUACGGAGGAUCCAAGCGUUAUCCGGAAUUAUUGGGUUUAAAGGGUCCGUAGGCGGGAUAAUAAGUCAGUGGUGAAAGUUUGUGGCUCAACCAUAAAAUUGCCAUUGAUACUGUUGUUCUUGAGUCAUUAUGAAGUGGUUAGAAUGUGUAGUGUAGCGGUGAAAUGCAUAGAUAUUACACAGAAUACCGAUUGCGAAGGCAGAUCACUAAUAAUGCACUGACGCUGAUGGACGAAAGCGUAGGUAGCGAACAGGAUUAGAUACCCUGGUAGUCUACGCAGUAAACGAUGGUUACUAGCUGUUUGGAUCAAUUGCGAUCUGAGUGGUUAAGCGAAAGUGAUAAGUAACCCACCUGGGGAGUACGUUCGCAAG